UGCAGUCGACGGCAGCACGGGUGCUUGCACCUGGUGGCGAGUGGCGAACGGGUGAGUUNACAUCGGAACAUGUCCUGUAGUGGGGGAUAGCCCGGCGAAAGCCGGAUUAAUACCGCAUACGAUCUACGGAUGAAAGCGGGGGACCUUCGGGCCUCGCGCUAUAGGGUUGGCCGAUGGCUGAUUAGCUAGUUGGUGGGGUAAAGGCCUACCAAGGCGACGAUCAGUAGCUGGUCUGAGAGGACGACCAGCCACACUGGGACUGAGACACGGCCCAGACUCCUACGGGAGGCAGCAGUGGGGAAUUUUGGACAAUGGGCGAAAGCCUGAUCCAGCAAUGCCGCGUGUGUGAAGAAGGCCUUCGGGUUGUAAAGCACUUUUGUCCGGAAAGAAAUCCUUGGCUCUAAUACAGUCGGGGGAUGACGGUACCGGAAGAAUAAGCACCGGCUAACUACGUGCCAGCAGCCGCGGUAAUACGUAGGGUGCGAGCGUUAAUCGGAAUUACUGGGCGUAAAGCGUGCGCAGGCGGUUUGCUAAGACCGAUGUGAAAUCCCCGGGCUCAACCUGGGAACUGCAUUGGUGACUGGCAGGCUAGAGUAUGGCAGAGGGGGGUAGAAUUCCACGUGUAGCAGUGAAAUGCGUAGAGAUGUGGAGGAAUACCGAUGGCGAAGGCAGCCCCCUGGGCCAAUACUGACGCUCAUGCACGAAAGCGUGGGGAGCAAACAGGAUUAGAUACCCUGGUAGUCCACGCCCUAAACGAUGUCAACUAGUUGUUGGGGAUUCAUUUCCUUAGUAACGUAGCUAACGCGUGAAGUUGACCGCCUGGGGAGUACGGUCGCAAGAUUAAAACUCAAAGGAAUUGACGGGGACCCGCACAAGCGGUGGAUGAUGUGGAUUAAUUCGAUGCAACGCGAAAAACCUUACCUACCCUUGACAUGGUCGGAAUCCCGCUGAGAGGUGGGAGUGCU
rnacentral:rRNA from 1 species